UACGUAGGGUCCGAGCGUUGUCCGGAAUUAUUGGGCGUAAAGAGCUCGUAGGCGGCAUGUCGCGUCUGCUGUGAAAGACCGGGGCUUAACUCCGGUUCUGCAGUGGAUACGGGCAUGCUAGAGGUAGGUAGGGGAGACUGGAAUUCCUGGUGUAGCGGUGAAACGCGCAGAUAUCAGGAGGAACACCGGUGGCGAAGGCGGGUCUCUGGGCCUUACCUGACGCUGAGGAGCGAAAGCAUGGGGAGCGAAC
rnacentral:rRNA from 1 species